UCUCGUCCUAAUAACUAACUGAAAUUUUAAUGUUUAUUGUUGGCUGUUCAAUUUAAUUAAGUUUCAAUUAACGUUUGCAAGUGAAGCCUAUAUCUGUUUGUUUUUGAUCUUUUUUUCCAGUUAUGAACACUUUGAAUUUAAAAAAAAAUUCCAAAGCAAAUAAACAUUACAUUCCAAACAUCAAUUUCAAUUUUGUCGCUUCCAUCCACGCUUUCUAAAACAAUAUAAAUAAAAUAAAGUGCAACUGAUUUUUUCCUGAAACGGGAUAUACUUUUUAUUAGUACAUACAUACGUAUUUCGCGCACAUGUCGUGUGCUCAGUACCUGAUCAGUAGUUGAUCGUAGCGUACAUGCUAAUAAAUAAUAUAUCCUGUUUCAGAAAAAAAUCAAUUGUAUUUUAUUUUAUUUAGAUUACAUUCUAAUAAGUAGAGAACAAUAUCGAGCACGUGAAAGGUAGAUCUAGCACUGGAGAAAUAUACGACAAAUAGCUCAACAACAAAAAUGUUUACACGUUUCUCCAGAGAAUACAAUUUAAAUUUUUUGCUUUUUUUUAAAUUUAUAUUGUUAUUGAAAAGUGUAGAAUUUUCCAAAAUAUGAAUAUUCGAAUCUUUUGGACAAUUUUGAAUAGAAUGUUUUAUAUUUGCACUUUAAAAUAUUCCUCACACCCAACGAAAUAUUUUGUUUAGAAAUUUUUACAAGCGCAUAUUUUUGCAACUGAAAUGGUCCGCCUCCAUUAAUCUAAUUGACUUUGCUUUUUAGACCCAUCAUAAGCGGUCAGUUUUUCAUCAGUUUACUAUAAGCUAACCCUUCCAAAAUUCACUAGUAAAUCAAAAGCAUGUUUCAACUUGCAACAGUCCGGCCAGACUAUUCAUUCGUCUGUCGUUCAUUGUUGUAAACAAUGAAUAUGCCAUAAUUUUGUCGUUCUGACUGACGCGAAACUGAUGAAAGACUGAUCGUGUGAAGUAGAUCUUACAAUGUGUUUUCUAAUCUAAUGUGUAUAUUUUCUAACCAAUUGUAUAUAGAUGGCUCAGUGGUUAGAACGACUUUCGUAGCGGUUGGAGGGGGGGAUUUUUGAAUGGAUGUCAGAUGUGUGAUAUCAGUCAACUCAGCUGUGUAUGAGUACCUGAGUAAAAAUCAAGAUUAUAAUACCAUUACGCACUUGAAUGAAGUGUUUUAAAAUGCUUUAAGGUCCUGGUCCAAUUGGAGUGUCACACCAACGAUUAUUAUUAUAAUCUAAUAAUAUAAUAUGAUUCAUCUAGAGUCAAAUUGAGGGUAUCGGCAUAUUCUUUCAGUAUUGACAGGCUCACGAAAUAAUAAAAUGAACGCUUUUCUCAAAUUAGAGUAAUAAAUUAAGAUAUUAUUGAAAAGUGAGAUGCUGCCUUCGAAGCGAAGAUUCCGGGUCGGUGUAUUACAACACUUUCCAACGAUUCGUAUAGCCUUUCUGAGUAGCUUUAAGGAAUUGUAGAUUUGGACAAUAACGGGAGGAUAGUAACGAACGACUAAGGUUUCUGUAAAGUAAUUAAAUUUCUUUUCUAUCUAUGCAAUCUCUGGGAAAGACCUCGGAUUCCCGUAAGAGUGAAAGUAGCAAAUCUACAAUAUCUGCAGGUGCAGCGAUAUAUACCUCUAUGGGAAGACUCUGCUUGCUGAAGCAGUCCAUGUCCGUAUGUUACGGCGGCUAGACAUUUCACCCAAAACAGGAGGAACUUCACCGGAUGUGAUACGGCUAAGAAACCAUGGUGAGAUGUUAUUUCCAUUCAGUUGCUCAUCAUCGUGGACGAAAAGUCGACCAGUGACGUCAUUCAAAAAACUAUUGGAAGAUUUGCGACCACAUAUGAGCGCAGAUUCUCAGAACUUCUCAAGAUUCCGUUCGGUAUCGGAGUUCGAGUGCGUUACGUCGCCAUCACUCGUAGCGGUCAGUAGAGCCUUCAACCCCUUCCGUUCAUCGAUCCGCUUCCACAGUCAGUGGGAUCUUAUGACGCCUCUCGGGAUGUAGCCGACCACCUGUGUAACACCUGAGAAAAGAGUUUUUUUGAUACAUCGAUAUUCUCAGGCUCAGGUUACUCAUUUGCAGAGGCAUAGAGACGCUAGCUCGAAAGUAAGGUGGAACCAAAUGAAUGCACUAAUCCAAAGAAUGGUUAUUAUCUUUAGGAAUAAAAGAUGGAAUUUAAUUCUGAGUGAAUUGAAGAUAGGAAGCGAACCCUUCUGGAACAUUGCCAACAUUUUAAAAAAACUAAACUAAAAAUGUUGUGUGUAUUGUGUUUAAAAGAUAGUAACAAAAUAGACUUUACCAUAAAGAAAAACGCGAGGCAUUUAGCAGAUAUUUUUACUAAAAACUUUUCAAUUUUCAUCGACAAUAUCGGUUACCCCUGCUAUGAUGAUAACGUGGCUCAAUAGAUGCAAAUAACAUUUGAAUUUGAUUGUUUAUAUUUAGAAAAUGAAACUAGACUUCUUUUUAAUAAAAAUAAUCAGCCAUUUAGUUUCCAUGUGGUCUCUGUUCUACAAAGUUCGCACUUAACAAUCUUCCCGAGUUUGCCUUUCUGACGAAUCAUGGGUAUAUGCCUCGACUGAACAAUCAAGUUUUGAGAGAAGAAGACCUGGUGAAAAAUUUAAAGAAGAUUGCAUUGUAAAACGAAUCAAGCAUUCAUUCAGUAUUAUAGCCUAGUCAAUGAUUGGCAACAAAAAUACAGGAUCCCUAUAAAUUGUCCAAAAGACGGGCAGGUCCAAUGUAUGGUCUAGAAGCCAGAAUGAUACUCAAAGUACACGAAUAUAGUUUAACGCGAUUUUUUCUCAAAUUUUGACAAACAGUAGUAGUCAUUUUGUUACGAAAAAUUAACCUUCCUUUCACCGUUAUAAGAUCUUGUUGACAUCCUAAGAUCCCAAUGUGAUAGGUAUAGUAGUUUGAAUAGAAUCUCACUCAUUAAAAAAAACCUGAAGUAGUCGUUCUUAGCUAUAGAGACAUAUCAAUGAUAUCAAUCAAUCAUAAAUAAGACAGUGCAAAUCUAGAAUAGUGCCCACAAGGCCAAGCAGUUUAGCGGACAACAUUCUUGCGGAUAUAUUACAAAUUAGAAGGAUCACUGCUUUUUCAUGUUUAGAUUGGCACUUAGAUCAAGCAUCUUUGUUGCUUUAUGUAAAUUUCACGGAGCUAAUUCUGUCGUUGAGAUCACAACUAGGUCUACUUGGAUUUCUUAAAGUCUUGUUGCAGAUUUUCAACAAAGUUCCGAUUCGAUAGUAUGGUUACAUUGAUUGUGAAGCACGCUCUUUUUUCCUGGGGAAGUAAAACUAAAUCGAGCCUAUUGUGACUAACAC
rnacentral:lncRNA from 1 species